rnacentral:misc_RNA from 1 species
GGAAGUAAAGUCGUAACAAGGUCUCCGUUGGUGAACCAGCGGAGGGAUCAUUACCGAGUUUACAACUCCCAAACCCCAUGUGAACCUUACCAAACGUUGCUUCGGCGGGAUGCCCCGGGCGCGGGCCGCAAGGCCUCAGCCCCGGAACCAGGCGCCCGCCGGAGGCCCAAACCAAACUCUUGUUUUUGUAGAAUCUUCUGAGUGGCCUUUUAGGCAAAAAAUGAAUCAAAACUUUCAACAACGGAUCUCUUGGUUCUG